rnacentral:misc_RNA from 1 species
UCUCCGUAGGUGAACCUGCGGAGGGAUCAUUACUGAGUGAGGGCCUUCGGGCUCGACCUCCAACCCUUUGUGAACACACAUUGUUGCUUCGGGGGCGACCCUGCCGUUUCGACGGCGAGCGCCCCCGGCGGCCUUCAAACACUGCAUCUUUGCGUCGGAGUUUAAACAAAUUAAACAAAUCUUUCAACAACGGAUCUCUUGGUUCGGGCAUCGAUGAAGAACGCAGC